rnacentral:rRNA from 1 species
CUACGGGGUGCUGCAGUGGGGAAUAUUGGGCAAUGGGCGCAAGCCUGACCCAGCAACGCCGCGUGAGGGAAGAAGGUUUUCGGAUUGUAAACCUCUGUCCUUGGGGACGAAGAAGUGACGGUACCCAAGGAGGAAGCUCCGGCUAACUACGUGCCAGCAGCCGCGGUAAUACGUAGGGAGCAAGCGUUGUCCGGAAUUACUGGGCGUAAAGGGUGCGUAGGCGGCAUAUUAAGUCAGGUGUGAAAUACUCGGGCUCAACCCGGGGGCUGCAUUUGAAACUGAUAUGCUUGAGUGUGAGAGAGGAAAGUGGAAUUCCUAGUGUAGCGGUGGUAUGCGUAGAUAUUAGGAGGAACACCAGUGGCGAAGGCGACUUUCUGGCUCAUAACUGACGCUGAGGCACGAAAGCGUGGGGAGCAAACAGGAUUAGAUACCCGAGUAGUC